rnacentral:rRNA from 1 species
UACGAAGGGGGCAAGCGUUGUUCGGAAUUACUGGGCGUAAAGGGCUCGUAGGCGGCCAACUAAGUCGGACGUGAAAUCCCCAGGCUCAACCUGGGAACUGCGUCUGAUACUGGAUGGCUUGAAUCCGGGAGAGGGAUGUGGAAUUCCAGGUGUAGCGGUGAAAUGCGUAGAUAUCUGGAGGAACACCGGUGGCGAAGGCGGCAUCCUGGACCGGUAUUGACGCUGAGGCGCGAAAGCCAGGGGAGCAAACGGG